CAUGUAGGCGGUUUUUUAAGUCUGGAGUGAAAAUGCGGGGCUCAACCCCGUAUGGCUCUGGAUACUGGAAGACUUGAGUGCAGGAGAGGAAAGGGGAAUUCCCAGUGUAGCGGUGAAAUGCGUAGAUAUUAGGAGGAACACCAGUGGCGAAGGCGGAUUGCUGGACGAUAACUGACGGUGAGGCGCGAAAGUGUGGGGAGCAAGCA
rnacentral:rRNA from 1 species